UACAGAGGGUGCGAGCGUUAAUCGGAAUUACUGGGCGUAAAGGGUGCGUAGGUAGGAGUUUAAGUCAUAUGUGAAAGCCCUAGGCUUAACUUAGGAAUGGCAUAUGAAACUGGGCGACUAGAGUAGAGUAGAGGGAAGUGGAAUUUCCGGUGUAGCGGUGAAAUGCGUAGAUAUCGGAAGGAACACCGGUGGCGAAGGCGGCUUUCUGGACUCAUACUGACACUGAGGCACGAGAGCGUGGGGAGCAAACAGG
rnacentral:rRNA from 1 species